rnacentral:rRNA from 1 species
UACGUAGGGUGCAAGCGUUGUCCGGAAUUAUUGGGCGUAAAGAGCUCGUAGGCGGUCUGUUGCGUCGGCUGUGAAAACCCGGGGCUCAACUCCGGGCCUGCAGCCGAUACGGGCAGACUAGAGUUCGGCAGGGGAGACUGGAAUUCCUGGUGUAGCGGUGAAAUGCGCAGAUAUCAGGAGGAACACCGGUGGCGAAGGCGGGUCUCUGGGCCGAUACUGACGCUGAGGAGCGAAAACGUGGGGAGCGAACAGG